GACGAACGCUGGCGGCGUGCUUUACACAUGCAAGUCGAACGGUGAAGGUGGAGCUUGCUCCGCCGGAACAGUGGCGAACGGGUGAGUAACACGUGGGCAAUCUGCCCCUAACUCUGGGAUAACUACUCGAAAGAGUAGCUAAUACCGGAUACGAAAUCUGAGGACAUCCUCGGAUUUGGAAAGUUUUUCGGUUAGGGAUGAGCCCGCGGCCUAUCAGCUAGUUGGUGAGGUAGUGGCUCACCAAGGCGACGACGGGUAGCCGGCCUGAGAGGGCUACCGGCCACACUGGGACUGAGACACGGCCCAGAC
rnacentral:rRNA from 1 species